CCAAUAGCGUAUAUUAAAGUUGUUGCAGUUAAAAAGCUCGUAGUUGAAUUUCAGAAUCAGUACGCCGGUCGUGCCUCCGGUAUGUACUGGUGUCACUGGUUCCUCCCUUCUGAAGAACCAUCAUGCCAUUCACUUGGUGUGGUGGGGAAUCAGGACUGUUACUUUGAAAAAAUUAGAGUGUUUAAAGCAGGCUCACGCUUGAAUACAUUAGCAUGGAAUAAUGAAAUAGGACGUUGAUCUUAUUUUGUUGGUUUCUAGGAUUGACGUAAUGAUUAAUAGGGAUAGUUGGGGGCAUUAGUAUUCAAUUGUCAGAGGUGAAAUUCUUGGAUUUAUUGAAGACUAACUACUGCGAAAGCAUUUGCCAAGGAUGUUCUCAUUAAUCAAGAACGAAAGUUAGGGGAUCGAAGACGAUCAGAUACCGUCGUAGUCUUAACCAUAAACUAUGCCGACUAGGGAUCGGAUGAUGUUAAUUUUUUAAUGACUCAUUCGGCGCCUUACG
rnacentral:rRNA from 1 species